rnacentral:rRNA from 1 species
UACGGGGGGAGCAAGCGUUGUUCGGAUUUACUGGGCGUAAAGGGCGCGUAGGCGGCCAGCACAAGUCAGUUGUGAAAUCUCCGAGCUUAACUCGGAAAGGUCAACUGAUACUGUGCGGCUAGAGUGCGGAAGGGGCAACUGGAAUUCUUGGUGUAGCGGUGAAAUGCGCAGAUAUCAGGAGGAACACCGGUGGCGAAGGCGGGUCUCUGGGCAGUAACUGACGCUGGAGGAGCGAAAGCGUGGGGAGCGAACAGG